ensembl:misc_RNA Metazoa_SRP Metazoan signal recognition particle RNA
GCCGGGUGUGGUGGCGCACACCUGUAAUCCCAGCUACUCCAGAGGCUGAGGCAGGAGAAUUGCUUGAACCCGGGAGGCGGAGGUUGCAGUGAGCUGAGAUCGCGCCACUGCACUCCAGCCUGGGCGACAGAGCGAGACUCUGUCUCAA